AGGGUCUCGGUGCCAAAGGCACAGCAAAGCCAUCGCCGUUAAUUCACCAGGGUGAUGAAGUUAUUACAGCAUUGCUGUAACUUGCUGCAUCUGCAUAGUGUCAUGGGUGACCCCAUGCAGGUGACAGAGCAGGGCUUCAAUACAACAUACUAAUCCCAGCAAGCUGAAAACACUGUAACAAGGAGCAGGGCAGAGCACCAAGUGCAAAGAGAAAGGCUGUACAAGUGUUUGGUUAUGUAAUACGAGUUUAUGUGAAACAAAACAUGAUUUCAAGUACAUAGAAACCCUACUUCACAGAAA